GGCAGCGGGGAUAAGCUUGCUUAUCCGCCGGCGACCGGCGCACGGGUGCGGAACGCGUAUGGAACCUGCCCCUGUCAGGGGAAUAGCCCAGGGAAACUUGGAUUAAUGCCCCAUGGUACCGCGAUAUCGCAUGAUAUUGUGGUUAAAGAUUUAUCGGACAGGGAUGGCCAUGCGUACCAUUAGCUAGUUGGUAAGGUAACGGCUUACCAAGGCAACGAUGGUUAGGGGCCCUGAGAGGGGGAUCCCCCACACUGGUACUGAGACACGGACCAGACUCCUACGGGAGGCAGCAGUGAGGAAUAUUGGACAAUGGUCGGAAGACUGAUCCAGCCAUGCCGCGUGCAGGAUGACGGCCCUAUGGGUUGUAAACUGCUUUUAUACGGGAAGAAACCCGCCUACGUGUAGGCGGCUGACUGUACCGUAAGAAUAAGGACCGGCUAACUCCGUGCCAGCAGCCGCGGUAAUACGGAGGGUCCGAGCGUUAUCCGGAAUCAUUGGGUUUAAAGGGUCCGUAGGCGGGCCUGUAAGUCAGGGGUGAAAGUUUGUGGCUCAACCAUAAAAUUGCCUUUGAUACUGCAGGUCUUGAGUCAUGGUGGGGUUGCCGGAACAUGUGGUGUAGCGGUGAAAUGCAUAGAUAUCACAUAGAACACCGAUCGCGAAGGCAGGUGACCAACCAUGUACUGACGCUGAUGGACGAAAGCGUGGGUAGCGAACGGGAUUAGAUACCCCGGUAGUCCACGCCGUAAACGAUGGAUACUAGCUGUGGGGUCUUUCGGACUCCGUGGCCAAGCGAAAGUGAU
rnacentral:rRNA from 1 species